rnacentral:ncRNA from 1 species
CCCGCUGAAUUUAAGCAUAUAACUAAGCGGAGGAAAAGAAACUAACGAGGAUUUCCUUAGUAACGGCGAGUGAAAAGGAAAAAGCCCAACGCUGAAUCCAAUAGACAUUUGGUGCUAUAUGGAAAUGUAGCGUAUAGGUAUAACUAUCUAUAACAUAUUUUUACACCCAAAGUCCCCUUGAGCGGGGCCACAAUCCAUAGAAGGUGCUAGACCUGUACGGGUGAAAAAAGUUAUGGUAGGUUAUACCUUGGAGUCGGGUUGUUUGAGAUUGCAGCCCAAAGAGGGUGGUAAACCUCAUCUAAGGCUAAAUACGACCACGAGACCGAUAGCAAACAAGUACCGUGAGGGAAAGUUGCAAAGAACUUUGAAGAGAGAGUUCAAGAGGGCGUGAAACCGCUGAGAUGGAAACGGAUAGAGUUAACGAAACUUAUCGGUAUUCAACCGAUCAAUUUAGCAAUCUUAUUUGAUUUAUUAUUCAUUUUUAUCAAAUGAAUAAAAUGAUAUAUAAGAUAGAAGUGCUAAAUUUGUUAUGAUUGGUGUAUUUACCGAUAGUAUGCAUCGAGAGCUUCGUUUUAGCAUAUUAAUACAAUUUUUAUUUAGUGGACCAAUUUUUCGUAUGAUAAUUGGAAUCCUAAAUAUGUUGAAAUAUGUCUUAGAUGAAGUUUAAAAUGUAACUUUCACUUGAAAUAAUAGUGACAUGCAUUGAUUAUAAUUUUGCUAAUUACAUUUACAUGUGGUCGCAUGCGACUUAUCGGUAAAUGUUGAUGAAAAAAUUAGUAAAUUUAUAAUAUUAUAUGCAUUAUAUUAAAGUUACAUUUCGAUGUGAACGUUAAUCACCUAUCUGACCCGUCUUGAAACACGGACCAAGGAGUCUAACAUAUACGCAAGUUAUUGGGUAGUAAACCUGUUAAUAAAAGCAUAAUGAAAGUAAAGAUUAUCUUUGGUAUAAUUGAUAUGUGAUCUAUAUAUAUAUAUAUACAUGUAUAUAUAUAUGGCGUAACAUAAUCCCGUUCAUGUUGCAUGCAAUAGGGCGGAGAUAGAGCGUAUAUGCUGGGACCCGAAAGAUGGUGAACUAUACCUGAGCAGGGUAAAGCCAAAGGAAAUUCUGGUAGAGAUCCGAAGCAAUUCUGACGAGCAAAUUGAUCGUCUAGCUUUGGUAUAGGGGGCGAAAGACUAAUCGAACUAUCUAGUAGCUGGUUCCCUCUGAAGUUUCCCUCAGGAUAGCUGGAGCACGUAAUAAAGCAGUUAUAUUCGGUAAAGCGAAUGAUUAGAGGAAUUGUGGGACGAAACGUCUUCAACUAUUCUCAAACUUUUCAGUGAGUAUGACGUCUUGCUUGCUUGAAUGAAGCAUAAACAUUGAAUGUGUGUUCCAAGUAGGCCAUUUUUGGUAAGCAGAAAUGACGCUGUGGAAUGAACCAAAUGUUGAGUUAAAGUGCCAAACUUUCCGCUCAUGAGACCCCAUGAAAGGUAUUGAUAUAGAUAGCAGAACGGUGGCCAUGGAAUUUGGAAACCGCUAAGGAGUAUGCAACAACUCACCACCUAAAUCAACUAGCCCUGAAAAUGGACGGUGCUUGAGCGGAAGACUAAUACUCAGCCGUUGCACGCUUUGUGUUCAAAAAAAGAAACCUGGCCGCAACGAAUAAGAGGGUCGCAGUGGUUAGCGUUGAAGACUUUGGGCGUAGGUUGUAGCUUCCAUUGGUGCAGAUCAUGAUGGUAUAGCAAAUAUUCAAGUGAAAUAGAGAAGUAUUCUAAUAUUCAAGUAGAGAAAUGAACAGCAGUUGAAUGUGGGUCAGUCGAUCCUAAGAUAUUGGCUAAUGCCGUUUAAUAAAAUAGAGGAAUGGAGAUGUAAUCCAUCUGAUAAAUCGAAAGGGAAACGGGUUAAUAUUCCCGUACCUGGACACGGAGAUAAAUGCUCAUCAUGAGAAUUUAGCGCGGUAACGCAAAUGAACUCGGAAACAUUGAGGAAAGCCCGAGCCAGAGUUCUCUUUUCUGGUUAAGGAACGGACUCCCUGGAAUCGGUUCAGCCGGAGAUAGGGACGUUGUUUCCGUAAAGCGCCACGGUUCCUGUGGUGUCUCGUGCGCUUUGUUCGAUCCAUGAAAAUCCGAGGGAGGCUAUUUGAAUUUCGUGCCAGAUCGUACCCAUAUCCGCAGCAGGUCUCCAAGGUGAACAGCCUCUAGUC